UACGGGGGGGGGCAAGCGUUGUUCGGAAUUACUGGGCGUAAAGGGCUAGUAGGCGGCCGACUAAGUCGGAUGUGAAAUCCCCAGGCUCAACUUGGGAACUGCAUCCGAUACUGGUUGGCUUGAAUCCGGGAGAGGGAUGCAGAAUUCCAGGUGUAGCGGUGAAAUGCGUAGAUAUCUGGAGGAAUACCGGUGGCGAAGGCGGCAUCCUGGACCGGCAUUGACGCUGAUCAGCGAAAGCCAGGGGAGCAAACGGG
rnacentral:rRNA from 2 species